AACCUUUAGCCAAACAAGUAUUAAAGGCAACGCCUGCCCAGUGAAUAAUUCAACGGCCGCGGUACCCUAACCGUGCAAAGGUAGCAUAAUCAUUUGUCUAUUAACUGUAGACCUGUAUGAAUGGCAAAAUGAGGGUUUAACUGUCUCUUAUAAUAAGUCUAUUAAACUGAUCUCCUAGUAAAAAAGCUAGAAUACCCCCAUAAGACCAGAAGACCCUGUGAAGCUUAAACUAAACCAUUACACCCAAUAAUGACUACUUUUGGUUGGGGCGACCUUGGAAAUAAAAACAACUUCCAAUACACGUGAUACACCACACCCGCCAGGCCCACAAGCCAAUAAAUGACCCAGUACUACUGAUAAAAGAACAAAGUUACUCCAGGGAUAACAGCGCUAUCUUCUUCAAGAGCCCAUAUCAAAAAGAAGGUUUACGACCUCGAUGUUGGAUCAGGACAUCCUAAUGGUGCAGCCGCUAUUAAGGGUUCGUUUGUUCAACGAUUAAUGUCCU
rnacentral:rRNA from 1 species